rnacentral:rRNA from 1 species
UACGGAGGAUCCGAGCGUUAUCCGGAUUUAUUGGGUUUAAAGGGUGCGCAGGCGGGAGAUUAAGUCGGCGGUGAAAUUUUGCAGCUCAACUGUAAAAGUGCCUUCGAAACUGGUUUCCUUGAGUGUAGAUGAAGUAGGCGGAAUUUGUGGUGUAGCGGUGAAAUGCAUAGAUAUCACGAGGAACUCUGAUUGCGCAGGCAGCUUACUAAACUACUACUGACGCUCAGGCACGAAGGCGUGGGGAUCAAACAGGAUUAGAUACCCCGGUAGU